GUGUACUUAAUGAUGGUUGCCAGGACCAAUGGUUAGUAACCCGGCAGAGGGGAGGAGUGGGAGUAGACGUGACAAGAAGCUGAUCGCAAAGAUUUGGUUGAUUCCAUCCAUCCAUCAAUCAGGUAGCCCUUUCAAAGUAUCAGUGAAGAAUGCUUCUGAUGUCAGUGAUUUCAAAAUGUCUGGGACAAGCUUGGAGUCAGGAGUUUGUCCAAACUCCUCAGACCUUCACCAUAAACUGUAGCAAGGCUGGAGAAGUACUAGCAUCUGUGGCUGUUAUGACACCAAGUAGUGGGUCCAAAUUAUAUCAAGAUACUAUACGCACUCAUCUAUUUCAAAUAGACAGCCGUGUUGGUUGUUGCUUGACUAACCAGGUAAGAGAACUUUUGGAGGUGACAGACAAUGGUGAUGGGACAUAUUCAGUGGCCUACUCCCCUUCUAUGGUGGGUCCUCACUCUGGUCGUCAAAUAUGCCAAUGAAGAGGCAUUCUCUAGGUGAGAUCAUUUUUUUUCAGAUGGGAAAUGUUUAGUUUUAAUAUAGUUAUGCUGUACAGAUGCAGGAUCCUAAUCUGACCAAUUUUCCUCAGCAAGACAAUCCUGCAGCAGCAGAAACUGGAUUAUAAUUAACUGACAUUUUUGCAGGUGUUGGUACUUUUGUUAGGGCAAAUCAAGACUGACUUUUGUAAAGUGGAAAUUACUAACUUUAGAAGCCCUUUACACCUCAAAUACAGGACAUUUGCUGCAACAACAGGGUGAUCAAAUUUAAGAUCUUAUAUCUGUAUGUGAAGCAUGAUUUUUACAAACAUAUCCAUAUUGCAUUUCAGUUCUGUCAUUUCUUAUAUGUUGUGUUCCAAGUGUUGCCUACUAAUGAUGCCAACAAGUUGCAUGUGUCGAUCAGGCUUGGAGUCAGGAAUUUGUGCCCACAUCCCUCAGACCUUCACCAUUGACUGUAGCAAGACUGGAGAGGCCCCAGAAUCUGUGGCUGUCAUGACAUCUAGUGGUAAUAUAGUGCUUGCAAAGGUGAAAAAUAAUGGGGAUGGGACAUACUUAGUGUGCUACUCCCCUUCCAUGGAUUCUCUGGUGGCCAGAUGAAGAUGAGUUUCAUAGUCCCUAAAACUUCAAGUUCUACUAACCAAUGACUGUAGCAAGCUGAAAGUUUGUGGGCCAGGCUUGCAGUCUGGAAUUUGUGCAAUGUUCCCUCAGACAUUCACAAUUGACUGGAGAGACCCCAGAGUCUGACUGUUAUGACACCUAGUGGUGAGCUUGUGGCGGUAACAGACAAUGGGGAUGGGACGUACUCAGUAGCCUACUCCCCUUCCAUGGAGGGUUCUCACUCUCUGGUUGUCAAGUAUGAGGAUGAGUUUUGCAGGUAAAAUGAUGCUUAUGGAGAUGGAACCUACUCAGUGGCCUAGUUCCCUUCCAUGAAGGAUCCUCAUUCUCUGGUUGUCAAAUAUGGUAUCGAAGAUGAGUUCUGCAGGUAAGAUAUGGAACAGUUAGAUUCAAUGUAAAUACACUUUUGUGUGCCUUUUUGACCAGUCCGUUUCAGUUCCUUGUCUUGUGCUCUCAUGAUGCCAGUAAAGUGAGAGCCAGAGGUCUGGGCCUGGUAUCUGGGUUACCUGCCAGCCUAUCUUCACAAUUCACCAUAGAUGCAACUGAUGUAGGAGAGGGCCAUUAAUCAGUGAAGAUUACUGUGAGUUAUAAAUUAUGAUUUACAUA